GAAAUUGAAAACAAACUCUCUAACUGCCUUAACAAAACUGAUCCACAAAUUCAAGAACUCUACAAAAUUAGCAGUUUCCUAAUGGCCUCAUUGCAAUCUUUUAAAUACUAAAUCUCAUCCUCUUCAAAAUGUCCAAAAUAAAAUAAAUAAAUAAGGAGAAAACUCACUGAAUGCAGAGAGACCUUGAGUGGGAAAUCGAAAUAUAUAUCGAUUUAGACCCACAAACUAGCCCUUGAUAUAAUGGGUAUCAAUAUCAAGCACCAAUGCUCCUUCCCACUGGUCUUUCUUGCAACCGCCACCCUCCUCCUCGCCGGCCAAGCAACUGCCACAGCCACAGCAACCGUCAGUGACUUAUGUGCAGCUACAGAAUACAAACCCCUUUGCAGGGCAACCCUUAAAGGAAUUACCGAUCCAAAUGCAGCAAUAGAGGCAUCAAUCAAUCAAGUAAUCCUCAAAUCAAAACACGCAUAUUUCCGGUCAAGGACGAUGGGCAACGACGAAACUACUGAAAUCUGCAAGGAAAUGUAUGAUGAUGCCAUUACAGACCUUGAGAAUUCUUUGAAAGCCUUGAAGGCAAAGGACAAGGGCACCCUUGAUUCCAACCUUUCUGCUGCUAUUAGUUACUAUUCAUCUUGCGAUGACUCGUAUGCUGAAAUGGGCCAAGAAAGUCCUUUUAGUAAGAUUAAUAUUGUCCUCCAACACAUGGUCGACAACUGCUUGGUCUUGGCCACUCAAAUCCACUGAUUCAUUAUAAAUUUUGGAGGGUAAUUAAUUAAUUAAUUUGCUGGGUUGUGUUAAUUAGGUUAAAUUCAUAUUAAUAUGCGUUGGUUUUGUUCAAUUAUUGCAUUCCUUAGGAGGUGUUGAUUUGUAUAAUACGGGAAGUGAGUGCCUUUUCUGGCAUUUAUAUGAUAAUUAUCAAAUUUGACUCCCUG
rnacentral:misc_RNA from 1 species